UACGGGGGGGGCAAGCGUUGUUCGGAAUUACUGGGCGUAAAGGGCUCGUAGGCGGCCAACUAAGUCGGACGUGAAAUCCCCAGGCUCAACCUGGGAACUGCGUCCGAUACUGGCAGGCUUGAAUCCGGGAGAGGGAUGCGGAAUUCCAGGUGUAGCGGUGAAAUGCGUAGAUAUCUGGAGGAAUACCGGUGGCGAAGGCGGCAUCCUGGACCGACAUUGACGCUGAUGAGCGAAAGCUAGGGGAGCAAACGGG
rnacentral:rRNA from 1 species